AAUAUUGGACAAUGGGGGCAACCCUGAUCCAGCCAUGCCGCGUGUGUGAAGAAGGUCUUCGGAAUGUAAGGCACUUGAAGUUGGGAGGAAGGGCUUUAGGCUAAUACCCGGAAGCAUUGACGUUACCAACAGAAUAAGCACCGGCCAAUUCUGUGCCAGGAGCCGCGGUAAUACCGAGGGUGCAAGCGUUAAUCGGAAUUAGUGGGCGUAAAGCGCGCGUAGGUGGUUCAGUAAGAUGGGUGUGAAACCCCCGGGCUUAACCUGGGAACUGCUUUCAUAACUGCUGAGCUAGGGUACGGUAGAGGGUAGUGGAAUUUCCUGUGUAGCGGUGAAAUGCGUAGAUAUAGGAAGGAACACCAGUGGCGAAGGCGACUACCUGGACUGAUACUGACACUGGGGUGCGAAAGCGUGGGGAGCAAACA
rnacentral:rRNA from 1 species